CCGCCCAGGUGCCAGCCUCGCCUCUCCUCUGCCAUUAAAACCGCUGCCGGUGUAGGAUACAAAGCGCUGACAUUUUCCAGCAGGCACAAUCAUGGUCACCCCCGCAGCUGAAACACUCUACGCAUGCGCAGCGGCUGUCUCUGCCAGUCAGUGCCUUGUGGCGCCCCGAGGCAGGUGUUCGCGGGCAGUGGCGGUUGGGCUCAGCAGGGUUUGAAGGAACGGAGCUGGGCUCUGGAACAACAUGUUCUAGUGCCCUGGGCAGGGGCCUCGCUGUUAUCUUACAGAAAGGCAGCGGGUGUUGUAGCAAAUGAACCAAAAAGUAACAUCACGGUCAAUAUGGUGCCAUGGUUCACACACAGGGGUCAGCUUUAAUUGUCAUGAAACAUUAUCCCUGGUCUGAUUCACGGAUUUUGUUGGUUGUUCUCACCUGCUGCUCGGUUGUGCAUUAGCGUGCUCUCUCGUGCUUUUUGUACACAAAGAAAAACACUACAAUAUUAUCAACCUCCUUAUGUUCCUUCUGUAGCUACAACUCCCCCUGAAGUCAAUGGGGACGUGAGCCAGAGCUGUAAGGAGUGUGGGAUUAAUAUGGCACACUUGGAUCUGAGAUGAAGAAGUUGUUAAGUAUGGGCAUGAUCCUGCAGUCCUUAGAUGAACAGUCAUCAAUCAGGACGAGAUUUAGGAUUAAUGCUGAGAGGCUCCUGAGUCCCUAUUAAGGCCUUGUUCCUCAGGCUACAGCUCCUUGUGCUGUACCCUCACCCUGCCUUCACCCUCCCAUAACCUGUCCCCCAGUCUCUGCCCCUCCCUGUUCUUUCCAGCAGGAUAGUCAGCCAGCUGACUCCUCCCCACCACCCAGAUACCCCAUGCUAAGCUUGGAGACCUGCAAUUGCCAGCAGCACCCUGGUGGCAAAGAGGAGAUCCUUUGAGGGCAGAGGGGAUUUCCUGCAGCCCUGCCUGAUGUGGGACAUUCCAGCAGAGAUGGAGGAAGAGGCAUGUAUAUAUUGAAAAGG